UACAGAGGUCUCAAGCGUUGUUCGGAUUCAUUGGGCGUAAAGGGUGCGUAGGCGGCGCGGUAAGUCGGGUGUGAAAUCUCGGAGCUUAACUCCGAAACUGCAUUCGAUACUGCCGUGCUUUGAGGACUGGAGAGGAGACUGGAAUUUACGGUGUAGCGGUGAAAUGCGUAGAUAUCGUAAGGAAGACCAGUGGCGAAGGCGGGUCUCUGGACAGUUCCUGACGCUGAGGCACGAAGGCCGGGGGAGCAAACGGGAU
rnacentral:rRNA from 1 species